CAGGCGGGUCGCCAAAAUCCUCGAUGCCCGUCCACCACUCGUACGCAAUCCCACUCCCCAUCUCCUCGCUCCCCUCCCCCGCCCACUUCACCGCCGGCGACCGCGACGGCUCAUCUCCUCCCUCCUACAUCACCGCCGCCUGCAACCACCGGCGACCUUUCUCAUGGGCUCAACCCUAUCCCCCACCCUCCCCUCACGUUCUCUCCCAGAUCGGAUCGGAUCGAGAAUCAGCAGGUUAGCCGGUGGCCAGAUUCGCGGCGGUCCGUCUCUCGGGCCUCUUUUUUAUGCUCCCAGAUCAGAUCGAGCAGCAGGCCAUGGAGUUGGUGAAGUUGUCCCUCCUUCGUCAACUUGGUUAGAGGUCCAAGUUCGAGGGACCUGACGAGAAAGAGGACAAGGACCACCGGGAACCAAGACCUCCAUAUAGCCAUGGCAAUAGCCGCACCUUCCCCUUCCACAAGGUGUAGUAGGUGUUCAUGGAAAAAGACAGAAAUUUUUAGGAGAUGAGGAGUUACUGAAACAUUGGCUGCAGCGCAAGGCCUCAAUGUGGCCAAAUCAACUCAAUGGUAUGUUGUGCUGGGCACUCAAUCAUUAUGUGAAGAGUUGUGAGUUCGCACUGCUACUAUUUGAAGAAACUGUAAAUUUUGAGACUUUAGUUGCUAGGGACGGAAAGCUGGAUGUCUGGUGUAUGUUUAGUACAGGUAGAAAUUUUCUACCCUACCACUUGCUGUCGUACAUGUUGGUUCUAGUUCAUGUGUUGGAUGCCUCAGACCUAGUUACAUAAUGAUACGUCUCCAACGUAUCUACUUUUCCAAA